CCUUGAAUGAAAUUUUGAACAAAAAUCAGCCGAACUACUGUCGUAUAGGUAUAGGGGGUAAUCAACUAUCUAAUGAUGCAUUGAAACAGAAAGAAGAUUCAAAAAGAAAAAUCAAUUUUGUUAAACAAUCCACUGUUUCACAAACUGUUGCGACAGUUGCAUCAACACAGUCAUCUCAAAGAAAACGUUUUGUCCCUACCUGUCAUUUUUGUCAUGUUCCUGGUCAUAUACGACCCAGG
rnacentral:lncRNA from 1 species